UACGAAGGGGGCUAGCGUUGCUCGGAAUCACUGGGCGUAAAGGGUGCGUAGGCGGUUUGGUAAGUCUUAUGUGAAAUCUACAGGCUCAACUUGUAGUCUGCAUGAGAAACUGCCGGGCUUGAGUAUGGGAGAGGUGAGUGGAAUUCCUGGUGUAGCAGUGAAAUGCGUAGAUAUCAGGAGGAACACCGGUGGUGUAAACGGCUUUCUGGACCAUAACUGACGCUGAGGCACGAAAGCGUGGGUAGCAAACAGG
rnacentral:rRNA from 1 species